rnacentral:tRNA from 1 species
GGAGAGAUGCAGGAGUGGUUUAACUGGCACGCCUGGAAAGCGUGUGUGCGGGAAACCGUGCCGAGAGUUCGAAUCUCUCUCUCUCCG